GACGAACGCUGGCGGCGUGCUUAACACAUGCAAGUCGAGCGAGGCCCUUCCUUCGGGAAGGUGCCCUAGCGGCGAACGGGUGAGUAACACGUGGGCAACCUGCCCCUAGCACUGGGAUAACUCCGGGAAACCGGGGCUAAUACCGGAUAUGACCUUCGACGGCAUCGUUGAAGGUGUAAAGGAUUCUGGCUAGGGAUGGGCCCGCGGCCUAUCAGCUUGUUGGUGGGGUAAUGGCCUACCGAGGCGACGACGGGUAGCCGGCCUGAGAGGGCGACCGGCCACACUGGGACUGAGACACGGCCCAGACUCCUACGGGAGGCAGCAGUGGGGAAUCUUGCACAAUGGGCGAAAGCCUGACGCAGCGACGCCGCGUGAGGGAUGACGGCCUUCGGAUUGUAAACCUCUUUCAGCAGGGACGAAGCGAAAGUGACGGUA
rnacentral:rRNA from 1 species